GUUGAACGCUGGCGGCAGGCUUAAACAUGCAAGUCGAGCGGGGGAAGGAGUUGCUACCGGACCUAGCGGCGGACGGGUGAGUAAUGCUUAGGAAUCUGCCUAUUAGUGGGGGACAACAUCUCGAAAGGGAUGCUAAUACCGCAUACGUCCUACGGGAGAAAGCAGGGGAUCUUCGGACCUUGCGCUAAUAGAUGAGCCUAAGUCGGAUUAGCUAGUUGGUGGGGUAAAGGCCUACCAAGGCGACGAUCUGUAGCGGGUCUGAGAGGAUGAUCCGCCACACUGGGACUGAGACACGGCCCAGACUCCUACGGGAGGCAGCAGUGGGGAAUAUUGGACAAUGGGGGGAACCCUGAUCCAGCCAUGCCGCGUGUGUGAAGAAGGCCUUAUGGUUGUAAAGCACUUUAAGCGAGGAGGAGGCUACUUUAGUUAAUACCUAGAGAUAGUGGACGUUACUCGCAGAAUAAGCACCGGCUAACUCUGUGCCAGAGCCGGGGG
rnacentral:rRNA from 1 species